rnacentral:rRNA from 1 species
AUACGGAGGGGGCUAGCGUUGUUUGGAAUUACUGGGCGUAAAGCGUACGUAGGCGGACUGAUCAGUUGGGGGUGAAAUCCCAGGGCUUAACCCUGGAACUGCCUUCAAUACUGUCAGUCUUGAGAUUGGAAGGGGUGAGUGGAAUUCCUAGUGUAGAGGUGAAAUUCAUAGAUAUUAGGAGGAACACCAGUGGCGAAGGCGGCUCACUGGUCCAAUACUGACGCUGAGGUACGAAAGCGUGGGGAGCAAACAGGAUUAGAAACCCUAGUAGUCC